AGAGUUUGAUCCUGGCUCAGAGCGAACGCUGGCGGCGUGCUUAACACAUGCAAGUCGAACGCGCAGCAUUCUGUAGCAAUACAGGGUGUGGGCGCGUGGCGAACGGGUGCGUAACACGUGGAUAACCUUCCUUCAGGUGGGGAAUAACCCAGUGAAAAUUGGGCUAAUACCGCAUAACAUGACGAUGCCACAUGGUGUUGUCUUCAAAGCCGCAAGGCGCCAGAAGAGGGAUCCGCGGCCGAUUAGCUUGUUGGCGAGGUAAUGGCUCACCAAGGCUUUGAUCGGUAGCCGGACUGAGAGGUUGGCCGGCCACACUGGAACUGAGACACGGUCCAGACUCCUACGGGAGGCAGCAGUGGGGAAUCUUGCACAAUGGACGAAAGUCUGAUGCAGCAACGCCGCGUGGGGGAUGAAGCUUUUCGGAGUGUAAACCCCUUUCGACCCG
rnacentral:rRNA from 1 species